rnacentral:rRNA from 1 species
GAUGAACGCUAGCGGCAGGCCUAACACAUGCAAGUCGAGGGGUAACAGGGAAAGCUUGCUUUUCGCUGACGACCGGCGCACGGGUGCGUAACGCGUAUACAAUCUACCUUUUGCUGAGGGAUAGCCCAGAGAAAUUUGGAUUAAUACCUCAUGGUAUGUUAGUAUGGCAUCAUACAAACAUUAAAGGUUACGGCAGAAGAUGAGUAUGCGUUCUAUUAGCUAGAUGGUGUGGUAACGGCACACCAUGGCAACGAUAGAUAGGGGCCCUGAGAGGGGGAUCCCCCACACUGGUACUGAGACACGGACCAG